GAGGGUAGAGCUAAGGGGCAGAGCACAUGCUUAACAUGCAAGAGGUCUUGGGUUCAAUCCCCAGUGCCUCCA
rnacentral:tRNA from 1 species